GCUCAGGAUGAACGCUAGCGGCAGGCCUAACACAUGCAAGUCGAGGGGUAACAGGGAAAAGCUUGCUUUUCCGCUGACGACCGGCGCACGGGUGCGGAACGCGUAUCGAACCUGCCCCCUUCAGGGGAAUAGCCCAUGGAAACGUGGAUUAAUGCCCCAUGGCACCCAGGGACCACCUGGUUUUUGGGUUAAAGAUUUAUCGGAAGGGGAUGGCGAUGCGUGCCAUUAGCUUGUUGGUAAGGUAACGGCUUACCAAGGCAACGAUGGCUAGGGGCCCUGAGAGGGGGAUCCCCCACACUGGUACUGAGACACGGACCAGACUCCUACGGGAGGCAGCAGUGAGGAAUAUUGGACAAUGGUGGGAACACUGAUCCAGCCAUGCCGCGUGCAGGAUGACUGCCCUAUGGGUUGUAAACUGCUUUUACAUGGGAAGAAACCUCCCCUUGCGAGGGGAUCUGACGGUACCAUGAGAAUAAGGACCGGCUAACUCCGUGCCAGCAGCCGCGGUAAUACGGAGGGUCCGAGCGUUAUCCGGAAUCAUUGGGUUUAAAGGGUCCGUAGGUGGGCCAUUAAGUCAGGGGUGAAAGUCUGCGGCUCAACCGUAGAAUUGCCUUUGAUACUGGUGGUCUUGAGUCGUUGUGGGGUUGCCGGAACAUGUGGUGUAGCGGUGAAAUGCAUAGAUAUCACAUAGAACACCGAUCGCGAAGGCAGGUGACCAACAACGUACUGACACUGAUGGACGAAAGCGUGGGUAGCGAACGGGAUUAGAUACCCCGGUAGUCCACGCCGUAAACGAUGGAUACUAGCUGUGGGGACCUCGGUCUCCGUGGCCAAGCGAAAGUGAUAAGUAUCUACCUGGGGAGUACGUUCGCAAGAUGAAACUCAAA
rnacentral:rRNA from 1 species